rnacentral:lncRNA from 1 species
UUCCAUAUACUCCAGUAACACCCGUCCCAGGUAAUACUUUGGUAGCAUCUGCCAAAGAGAUAGAGCAAUGAGUUCCUUCUUCCUAAAGCUUAUGUCAGGUUGUCUUCUGUCUGCCCUUUCCUGGCCUGUCUAAGGAAGGUUGAAGUGCCUCAACAUAGAUACUUUGCCUUAUUUGACUGUGAAGAGCCGUGUACUUUUCAGCAGCUCAUGGUUUUUCCAGAUUAUUCCCUACAGAAUUCAUAGGGUUAAGCACCAGGGUAGGGAUGAAGGUUAGGAGUUCCACCGCUGGUUCCACCCAGCUUUACUCUGUGGUUCUGUUUGAGGUUUCCACCAGGCACUGCUCGACAUGACUUGGUGCAUCACAGUGGGCCUGAGUCAUGCAUCACAAACAAACCCAGCCCUUUAAGUCAAUAUCUACAGGUUACAGCUUAGUUGUAUUCCCACUGAACAAAGAUACAUACUCCAAAAGCAACCAUAGUUGCUCAUAGCUGCUGAUUUUCCUUGAAGAAUGUGCUUAAGCAGUACCCUGUCCUUUCACUACCAGAAUAGAAGCCCUGGUUAAAUGGAGUGAGAAAUGCAGACAUUGUCCAUACUGCAAUCCUUGCGAUGUGAGAGGAGGAAACAGGUUUAGCACCAAUUUAAACAUCCCAAGACACUGCUAUGGCAAGUCUGCAGUCCUGGUCAAUGGGACGUUUUUGUUCAUUCGAUGCCAUGAAUUGUAGUUGCCUCAGGACAUCUUCUGUGCUGCUGCUUUUCCUGAGACUCAUAGCAUCGCCUGGAGCCUGCUGAGACUUCCUCCAAAAGAGGCAGCAAGGAGAACUCACCGGUGGAAGAUCUGAGGUCUAAGAUCUAAGCUUGCUGUUUGAGAGAACUUCAUCAGAUAAACAAAGACACCAAGGCACAGAUUGACAAAACAGGACAGUGCACAGAAAAACUUGGUAAAGGAAAUGCCACUGUAGAUGGUGAUGAUAAUACAUAUAUCUAUUAACAUCCACAUGAAGUGAAACUGAGCUAUGUCUUUUAUGAUGG